GCCUUUUACCUAAAUUUUUGACCUCCACACUUUCCUAUCCAGGUACAUGUCCUCGAUAACCUGUAGAUAUGCCAUAUCCUACUGUCACGGCCUGAAAAUCCCACACUCGGGACCGUAAUGGUGCCUAACAUUCCACUUGCUAGGCAAGCCAAUGUUAGAAUAGUUUAUCUAUUUUUUUAACAGUCCGGAUUAAAUAAUAAUAAGGAAGCCCAAAUAAUUGAAAUAAAUCUGAAGCAAAGUGCAAAAAACCAUAACAACUGAAGUAUCUAAUACAGCUCCGAAUCUGGUGUCACAAGUGCAUGAGCUACUAGAAUACUACAGAUAAAGGUCUGAAUAAAAGUAAAGUUGUCUGAAAGAAAAAUACACAGCUAAGAUAAAGUGGGAGGGGACUUCAGGGCUGCGAACGCCGAACAGUUGUACCUCAAGUCUCCACACUGAUAGUCAACCCGAGCAAUCUACUGACCGUCGAUGGGACCGACUCCAAAAUCAGUACAAGAAGUACAGAGUGUAGUAUGAGUACAACCGACCCCAUGUACUCUGUAAGUGUCGAGCCUAACCUCGACGAAGUAGUGAUGAGGAUAAGGCGGGUCACUUACAAUAAGUUGUACGUAGUAUAAAAUAAUAACAGGAAAGGAAAAUACGGAAACAAAAUAAGGCAGUUAACUCAUGAAAUAACUCAAUCCUCAAGGAAAACAGUAAAUACCAGAAUUACCAAUCCUUGGUAUCUCGUACGAAAGUACCGAAAAUAACACAAUACAAUAUUGCAUAGGAAACACAUAAACUAUUGCGGCACGCAACCCGAUCCCACCACCUAUAGGCGACCAUCCUACAGCCGCCCGAAAAGGAACUGUAGUAGUCUUGAAUAGGGAUCCUAUAGCGAUAAAUAGAAUCCCCAUAAAAAUACCACUAGAUCGAGCACUAGUGAUUUCGUAUUUGGUCAAAAUCUUGGCUAAUUGAUCGAAGUGGGUAGCUACAGUAGACCCAUAGAUCAUGGAAUAAAUAUGGUGGGUAGGCCUAAGCACCAUACUACAUGUAUAGACGUGAACCCCCUCGUUAUUGUACGUAUGACUCUCACCGCAUACGACUCGCACAAAGACUCCUAAAUCCAUCCCGACAUCACUAUCCUCCCUUAUUCCACUAUGUAAAUAUCAAUAAUAAUAAUAAUAAAUAUAUAUUGCGGCUAUCACACCCCUUUUUACCUCCCCCUCCCCCUCCCCUAAAAUAGAUAUGUAUGUGGAUUAUUGUGGAUUAAAGAGUUUUUCCCAUUAAGGUGACAAACUUGAGUAGGGAUUAUUUUAUUUACAGAGUCGCCACUUGGAAUUGAUUUUUGGGUGUUCCAAGUCACCUUUUAUUUGAAUCCCUAAUCAAAGAAGGAUUUGACUCUAUUAUUAUUGGUCUGCGAAAACAAAAUCCGGGUAAGAAAUUCUGUUGACCGGGGAGAAGGUAUAAGGCAUUCCUCGAGUCCCGUAGUUCUAGCACGGUCUCUUUAUUGACUACAUUUGGUUUGUAUUAUUUUUGGAUAACCUGUAUUUUAUUGGUUCUCAUGUUUUAACUAUGUCCGCUUUUAUUGCUUUAUUAGAUUUAUAAAAAAUUAUCUUGAAAUAAGUCACGCGUACGUGUACUCAUUUUUGUUUGGUGUAUCAAAAAUCAUAUCACGUGUAUGUGUACGCAAUUAAUAACACUUUAUUAUUACCAAGAUUGUUUGGUCAAGGUCGCGCGAACGCGUACCUUGAUUUAUUUUAAGAAUCAUAAUUAUGUCACACAAAUGUGUACAUAAUCACGAUAAUAAAUUUAAAACGUGUCUAAACACUCUAACGAUGUUCAUUAUUUUCAAAGGGAACCUAAACCCCACUUCACAUAUGAACAAGGUCUAUUUUCCUUUAAGCAAAAUGUGGUGUUGCUCUCUCACUAUUAUUUUUGACUUUAUGAAACAAAUCAACCAAAAUCCAUUAACAUUAUCAGUUAAUUCAAAUUAAUCAAACGAACAAACUGUAACCGUGAAUGAAUCCACGGAACUAUCUAACAUGAAACAAGACAAAAUAAUAAUUUAAAGAAAACAACCAAACGUUGGCCUUUCGAUCCUCUUGAUUCUUUCAAAUUAUUAGUUUAUAUGAAUCUCUUCUUAACCAACAAUUCAUCAUCAACAAUCAAAAACUCAUAUUUAGCAGAAAAUGACAAACUCAGAACAUUUAAUUAAAUUCAAACCAUGCGUUUUAAUUGCGGAAUGGAACUGAAAAUAUUGAGAUAAGAUAAAAUGAACCUUUCCAUUAAUGAGGCAAGCACAGAGUCAGAAUUUUGGCCAGAACAACUGAACAACGACCGGAUCUAAAGAUGUUCUUUCCGGAACCUCGAAAGGUCGAAACCUCGCCGAAAAACACGAACGACGACCUCACAAACUUGACUAAAGAAAACAAAGAACGGGCAGUAAACGUGAUUCACGAACGGAUCUCAAUAGACCGAAAACUUCGACUUAAAGCUUUGAGAACCUUUCACGUGCUUGUAUGAGAAGUCCGGAGGUGUUUUGGUAGUGAUUUGGUGACUGUUUUCAGGUGGUUUAGUAGUUGUUUUUGCAGCUUUUGCAGCUAGUUUCAGUUGCGAUUUUUGGGGAUUUAGAGGUGCGUUUAAGGUGGUAACGACAGUAGGUUCACAUAGCUAUGAGCUACUAAUUUCUAUGGCCAAGACAAAGAAUCUAAGGUGAAGAAAAUGGAGUUUUGUGGGGAUGGGUCUGCUAGAAUGAGGAGGAAGAAACAAACGAGCAGAAAGGAAGAAUUCUCAGAGGCUAAUGCCUCACGCUGCCCCCCCUCCCCGGUUCUCUCGUCACUAUUCCAGAUCUCUGUGUUGGUGAAGGGUUUAUGUGAGGGAAGUGGAUGGGUAAAGUUAGAGUGUGAGUAAAAAAAUAUUCAUGCAUAGUCAAAAAUUAGGUGCUCACAGUAUGCCCCUCUUUGCUUGAAAACAUGAAGAGUUUUCAAACAAAGACAAGGUGAGCGAUACGACUAAUAUUUGGUCAUGCCAUUAUUCAAAAGGGAACAGAGAAAAGAAUGCAUCCGAGUCCUGGUUUUGGACAGCCUACAUAGACCAGGUUAUAAGGGAAUCAGAUCGCAUGUAGUUCAAGGAAAAGGAUGGAAUGCUGAGUUGGAGAGUCGAGUGAGGUUCCGUCGAGGCUCCAGUCUGUAGUCGUGUUAUUGCAUCAAAGUCAAAGAGACUAAACAAGCCUAUCGGC
rnacentral:lncRNA from 1 species